GUCCUGAACCAACCUGAAAUAUUUUCCACCGAACAUUUGCAACCUCAAAUCAAUCAAUUCGAAUUGUACUUGAAAAUCACCGUUCACUCAAUAACAUUUUUAAGCUGAAUGUGCACCCUUUUAGUUGGAAAUAAAACUAAAUCAGUAGAAUAAAUAAUUUUACGAAGCAAAACAGGGGAAAUGAAAACAAAAUAACAAACACCAUUCAGAUCCCGUUACAUAGUUUUGCAAUACCUCUCAGAAAAAAAAACAUGUAACUCUAUAUUGACU
rnacentral:lncRNA from 1 species